CCGGGAAUUUUGGGCAAUGGGCGAAAGCCUGACCCAGCAACGCCGCGUGAAGGAUGAAGUAUUUCGGUAUGUAAACUUCGAAAGAAUAGGAAGAAUAAAUGACGGUACUAUUUAUAAGGUCCGGCUAACUACGUGCCAGCAGCCGCGGUAAUACGUAGGGACCAAGCGUUGUUCGGAUUUACUGGGCGUAAAGGGCGCGUAGGCGGCAAUUCAAGUCAUCUGUGAAAUCUCCGGGCUUAACUCGGAACGGUCAGAUGAUACUGCUUUGCUAGAGUGCAGAAGGGGCAAUCGGAAUUCUUGGUGUAGCGGUGAAAUGCGUAGAUAUCAAGAGGAACACCUGAGGUGAAGACGGGUUGCUGGGCUGACACUGACGCUGAGGCGCGAAAGCCAGGGGAGCAAACGGGAUUAGAUACCCCCGUAGUCCCUGAGCGGGCUGGCAAGGCGCAU
rnacentral:rRNA from 1 species